rnacentral:rRNA from 1 species
GACGAACGCUGGCGGCGUGCCUAAUACAUGCAAGUCGAACGCAGUGGGGACGGGUGAGUAACACGUGGGUAACCUCCCCAUCCGCGGGGAUAACACUUGGAAACAGGUGCUAAACCGAUACUGUUGGCUUCACCCUCGGUGCAUUAGCUAGUUGGUGAGGUAACGGCUCACCAAGGCCACGAUGCAUAGCCGAACUGAGAGGGUGAUCGUCCACACUGGGACUGAGACACGGCCAAGACUCCUACGGAGGGCAGCAGUAGGGAAUCUUCGGCAAUGGACGAAAGGCUGACCGAGCAACGCCGCGGGAGUGAAGAAGGUUUUCGGAUCGUAAAACUCUGUUGGUAGAGAAGCGGUAGCUAACCAGAAAGCCACGGCUAACGACGUGCCAGCCGCCGCGGUAAUAC